rnacentral:rRNA from 1 species
GAAGAGCACUCCUACGGGAGGCAGCAGUGGGGAAUAUUGCACAAUGGGCGCAAGCCUGAUGCAGCCAUGCCGCGUGUAUGAAGAAGGCCUUCGGGUUGUAAAGUACUUUCAGCAGUGAGGAAGGUGGGUAUGUUAAUAGCAUACUCAUUUGACGUUAGCUGCAGAAGAAGCACCGGCUAACUCCGUGCCAGCAGCCGCGGUAAUACGGAGGGUGCGAGCGUUAAUCGGAAUUACUGGGCGUAAAGCGCAUGCAGGUGGUUUGUUAAGUCAGAUGUGAAAGCCCGGGGCUCAACCUCGGAAUUGCAUUUGAAACUGGCAAACUAGAGUACUGUAGAGGGGGUAGAAUUUCAGGUGUAGCGGUGAAAUGCGUAGAGAUCUGAAGGAAUACCGGUGGCGAAGGCGGCCCCCUGGACAGAUACUGACACUCAGAUGCGAAAGCGUGGGGAGCAAACAGGAUUAGAUACCCUGUAG